rnacentral:rRNA from 1 species
UACGGAGGGUGCGAGCGUUGUCCGGAAUCACUGGGCGUAAAGGGCGCGUAGGCGGCGCGAGCAGUCGGCGGUGAAAGCCCGGAGCUCAACUCCGGGUCGGCCGUCGAUACUCUCGUGCUCGAGCACUGUAGAGGCAGGUGGAAUUCCGGGUGUAGCGGUGGAAUGCGUAGAGAUCCGGAAGAACACCGGUGGCGAAGGCGGCCUGCUGGGCAGUGAGCUGACGCUGAUGCGCGACAGCGUGGGGAGCAAACAGG